CUACUAUAUUUCUUUAACGAGGUUGGUAGGAUAUUUUCUUCUUAGCCUUCUUUUGAUAUGUGUUUUGUAUAUAAUAUUGGUCCUAAAACGCUUCCUUGCGGUACCCCUGCCUUGAUGUCUUUAACUUCAGAGUAUGUGUCCUUGAUUUUUAUUACGAAGGUUCUGCUGCUUAGGUAGGAUUUUAUUAAUUGGUGUAUUUGCUCCGGGAAUUGUUUCCUAAUUGUUUGUAGUAGGCUUUCAUGGUUUAUUUUGUCAAAUGCUUUCUCUAUGUCCAUAAAGAGGGCUGUGCAGUAUUACUUGUUUUCUAGUGCUAUUAUUAUUUCGUUGAUAAGCCUGUGCAUUUGCUCUAUCGUGGAGUGUUUGUUUCUAAAUCCAAAUUG
rnacentral:misc_RNA from 1 species